UACGUAGGGUGCGAGCGUUAAUCGGAAUUACUGGGCGUAAAGCGUGCGCAGGCGGUUUUGUAAGCCAGGUGUGAAAUCCCCGGGCUCAACCUGGGAAUGGCAUUUGGGACUGCAAGGCUGGAGUGCGGCAGAGGAGACUGGAAUUCCUGGUGUAGCAGUGAAAUGCGUAGAUAUCAGGAGGAACACCGAUGGCGAAGGCAGGUCUCUGGGCUGACACUGACGCUCAUGCACGAAAGCGUGGGGAGCAGACAGG
rnacentral:rRNA from 1 species